GAUGAACGCUAGCUACAGGCUUAACACAUGCAAGUCGAGGGGAAACGGCAUUGAGUGCUUGCACUCUUUGGACGUCGACCGGCGCACGGGUGAGUAACGCGUAUCCAACCUUCCCAUUACUGUGGGAUAACCUGCCGAAAGGCAGACUAAUACCGCAUAGUCUUCGAUGACGGCAUCAGAUUUGAAGUAAAGAUUUAUCGGUAAUGGAUGGGGAUGCGUCUGAUUAGCUUGUUGGCGGGGUAACGGCCCACCAAGGCGACGAUCAGUAGGGGUUCUGAGAGGAAGGUCCCCCACAUUGGAACUGAGACACGGUCCAAACUCCUACGGGAGGCAGCAGUGAGGAAUAUUGGUCAAUGGACGGAAGUCUGAACCAGCCAAGUAGCGUGCAGGAUGACGGCCCUAUGGGUUGUAAACUGCUUUUGUAUGGGGAUAAAGUUAGGGACGUGUCCCUAUUUGCAGGUACCAUACGAAUAAGGACCGGCUAAUUCCGUGCCAGCAGCCGCGGUAAUACGGAAGGUCCGGGCGUUAUCCGGAUUUAUUGGGUUUAAAGGGAGCGUAGGCUGGAUAUUAAGUGUGUUGUGAAAUGUAGACGCUCAACGUCUGACUUGCAGCGCAUACUGGUUUCCUUGAGUACGCACAACGUUGGCGGAAUUCGUCGUGUAGCGGUGAAAUGCUUAGAUAUGACGAAGAACUCCGAUUGCGAAGGCAGCUGACGGGAGCGCAACUGACGCUUAAGCUCGAAGGUGCGGGUAUCAAACAGG
rnacentral:rRNA from 1 species